AGAAGGCCUUCGGGUUGUAAAGCUCAGUCAUCCGGGAAGAGAGACCAGGGGAGGGAAUGCCCCUGGAGAGACGGUACCGGGAGAGGAAGCCCCGGCUAACUACGUGCCAGCAGCCGCGGUAAUACGUAGGGGGCAAGCGUUGUCCGGAAUCACUGGGCGUAAAGCGUGCGUAGGCGGUUUGUUAAGUCUGAAGUGAAAGGCCAUGGCUCAACCAUGGGAAUGCUUUGGAAACUGGCAGACUUGAGUACUGGAGAGGCAAGGGGAAUUCCACGUGUAGCGGUGAAAUGCGUAGAGAUGUGGAGGAAUACCAGUGGCGAAGGCGCCUUGCUGGACAGUGACUGACGCUGAGGCACGAAAGCGUGGGGAGCAAACAGGAUUAGAUAC
rnacentral:rRNA from 1 species